rnacentral:lncRNA from 1 species
UUCACUUCAUCCCUGUAAAACAAGAUGUUUUACCAAACACGAAUUCAAAGAAACUAGUAUAUAAUAUACAAACACUCUAAGCAAAAAGUGUGCUGAAUCUCAAGCGCACUAAUAUACAAACACUCUGAGCAAAAAGUGUGCUGAAUCUCAAAUGCACAAAGUCUCUUAAAUAGCCAAGAUUCAUGCCCCGUCAUUAUGUAUAUAAAACUCUCUCAUAAUAUACGACUAACUGACAAAAUCUAUCUAGUUGUGCUGGUACUUGACAUAAAUAUAUAACGGUGCAGAAGCCAAGACAAGCAAAAGAUUGAAAAGCAUUUGAAGCCCUGUAAGUACAAAAGGGAUCGAUAGAAUAUGUAAAUGAGUGACCAACUGACCUGCGUGGGUUUCCGGCGAGAUCAUUAUCGUUAACAGGAUCGAGUUGGAUCAGGACAGCGUCCCCCAUCAAUACUUGUUGCGAUAGAGGAUGGAACCAGCUCAUAUAUAUAGCGUACGUACCUAAGGUCUGAGAGUAGUGCGCGAUGCGUACCUAACGUCUGAUGGUAAGUAUAGGCGUACGUUGUUUCUCGGAAGUAUCCUCCGACUCCUAGCCCUCGACCGCAACCGUCAACACGGUGGAUAUUUUCCAGAAGCAAAUUAUCCCUAUCUUCUACUUUCUCAAGGGGUGUCAUUUGCCCUAUUUUAAAUUUGCUACAGACAUUCAACGUUCUCAAGCACACAAGCGACUU